CCCCAUCAUUGAGCUCAGACUCUCGGUUCAGCAGGAAACUUCACUGGAAGAAGAUAAGGCAACCAUAACAAAAAAAUGAAUCAAAUAUUGAAAUUGUGCCUUGGGGUGCUGCUCAUAACCGUACAGCUUUCAACUCAGUCCACAACAGGAAACAGCACCACAAGCAAUCCCAUUUCACAUACCACUGGUCCUCAUUCCAGUGCUGCGGGAUUGGGUCUUGUACCCACUGCACUGUGCCUGCUGAUCCCAGCAGCCACCCUGGCUUUUCUCCACACUAGAUCUUAAACAGGAUGGAGAAUAUUAACCAUAGAUGACCAAAACUGAGACAGUGGCAAAGAUGAACAACCAGCCACCCACAGAGAAAAUGUAUGCAAACUCUUGAGGUUAGAAGACACAGACAGGAAGACACCACCACCCCUCUUUGUAAUGGAUUUUAUUUUUAAAUAGGCCUAUUUAAAUUAAUAAUAAUUAAUACAUAUUUGUUUUUUGUACACAUAUUUUAGAGUGUUUAGACCAUUGGUCCUUCUAUCAGAAGUCUGUUUCUCAGAUGCACAGGCUACCAAUGAUGUUAUAUUAAGGGAAAGUUUAAGCAAAUUCACCUCAUGCUGAUUUUCUGUACCAGCUCAAACUUAUAUAAGUAUCAAUUGUGUUUCUCAAAGUAUAUGAUAUUAGUCUCUGCAAUGGCAUGAUUUGUACAGCCUGUUUUACAAAAUGUACCGUAUCAAUGUAAUCCAUGUAAUUUUUCAGUAUUUUUGUAUUGAUCGCAAUGACCUGUUAAUUGCACUGUUUAUGAAAGUGGCAAUACAAAUUAAAGAGAAUGUUUGCA